ACUACAAUGAUUGGAUUUGGAUAGAAAAUGGCAGCGAUUUCUCUGACAGUUGCUCUUUGUGCUUCAUCUCCAACUCCGAGAGAUCUAUGGAGGCAGAGACUGAAGAGUUCUUCCUUAAUUCAUCCCUGCAACAACCUUCCUUCUCAUACAUUGUCUUUGUCUUGCUUGCAAUUCGCUUCACCUCUUUCUGCAACUCAAUUGAAUCACCGCCAUGGCUGUGCUGUUGUGGGUUGUCUCCCUUCUUCCUCGGAGAGUAGUACAAGAAGCUCCACCAAGCUCUAUGUUAGUGGACUUUCAUUCCGAACCACUGAGGAGAGCUUGCGAAAUGCUUUUCAGAACUUUGGUAAUCUUGUUGAAGUCAAACUUGUGAUGGAUAGAAUAGCAAAUAGACCAAGAGGCUUUGCUUUCCUUCGUUAUGCAACCAAGGAGGAAUCUAAUAAAGCUAUUGAGGGGAUGCAUGGAAAGUUUCUGGAUGGCAGAGUCAUAUUUGUGGAAGUUGCAAAGCCAAGAUCAGAGCUGCGCCAAAAGCAAACUCCUAGACAAUAUUGAGCAGCUUGGUGUAGCUGUUUUCUCGCGUAUGUCUUGAGUAUGAACAUUGAAAUGACACCCAUCUUUGUCAUGUCAUCAGCUCAGGGUGCAACAUGAGGACUUCCGAGGAGGUCAUCCAUCCUAAUACUAUCAUUAAUUUCUAAUUAACAGGACGAACAAAAGAUUGUUGUUUCAUUUUCUACAGCUAGUACAAUGAGAUGUGAAGUUAUUCAAGAGUACUAGAAAACUGUCUAGACUUUUGACAAUACCUUUUUUUUAUCAAUAUUUCUCGUGAACUCUAUGACAAGCCAGAAGUCUACAUGCUUAAGAGAUUGAGUUUUUUUUCUGUACAACAACCCUGUUUAUUGAUGAGGACCAUUC